ACUGAAUGAAAUGAAGCAAAAGACCAAAGGGAGAAGGAAGGGUAAAGAAACGAAGAGAAUGCACGCCUUCCUUUUUCCUUUGCUCUUUUGUUCACUUCAUUCACCCAACUCACGGUCUGGUUCUUGUUCUCUUUCCUCUUUGUUCUUUGGCCUAAUUUCAUGCUUAAUUUCCUUACCAUUAUAAA
rnacentral:ribozyme from 1 species